AGAGAUGUGAUGGAAUUAUGAUGAUAAAGACAUGAGGUUAUGGCUGCAUAAUGCCUUGUUGGACCACUUGAGAAGUGGCUUUGGGUCUUCGCAUUGUGUCUUGGAGUAGAGUAUUUUCGAGAUCAAGAGUGGUAGACCGUGGUGGAUCUUGAAAGACUGCCUGUAGAUGUUGCUUGUCCUGUGUAAAAUUGUAGUCCUUGUCAUUGUCUAUCACUA